GCUUUAAAGAGACUUUCAAAAAAAUAUUUAUGCGAGCGAGGGUUUUAUAUCUCGUAAUAAUCCACACACGUCACGCGGGCUUUGGAUCUCCGAUGGUGCUGUAACACAACACAACAUUCUCAUAGAGAUACGAUCUUAAGUGUUAAAUUAGAGGAUGUGCUGAUCUGCACUUGUUGAAAAGUCUUUGAUGCGAGCGAACAAAAGGGAGAUAGCUGGAUUAAAAAACAAAGCGGGCACGUCUUUGUUGUGAGCAAGAAUGAAAAAAUGUUGAUAGGUGAAGCCGGAAUUGAAGUGAAGUGGAGCUGAAAUAUGAACAUAAACCGGGAAACUCUGGGAGACAGGAGGCUGUAGAGGAGGAAAAGGGAAAGGCGAUCACGGCCAACGGACAAAAAAAGUGCAAUCUGAGAGAAGCGAGAGGACAAAGACAGAGGAGACGACAGAAACUCCAGGGCAUCUUUCCCCAUCCCUUUGAGAAAGUGUAUUGUAGACAGUAAUCCCGUGUUAUGACAGUGACACAGUCCGUCUCUCCCUCCUUCCCACAGGUUGGAGGGGAUGAGUCAGACGGCGAGGAAAACAAAGCGGCAGGCAGGAACCUGCGAGGAUUACACUCUCAUCAUGUGGAAACCAGACACCGCCACCGGAGCUACUGCAGCCGGCUACCGUACGGGCUGCGUGUGUGUAGUCUCUCGAUGCCAAAAAAUGACAGAAGCAGGUGAGAGGGCGGAUGUGUCAUCAAUCAGCAAACUGGAGGAGCCGCAGAGGAAGAAGGUGGUGCAGGAGGAGUUCAAGGUCACAAACAGGUUUUUUCUUUCUUUUUUUUUUUUUUUUUUACAGAAGAAUUGGCACAUAAUCUAACUACAGCUGCCAAAUAAAUACAAGGAAAUAACAGCCUGCAUGUUUAAGUGAGCAAAGACAUGGGAAAGUAACUGAAAAUUGCACUUUUACUACUAAAAUUAUUAGUUGCUUAAAGUUUCCACCCCUGAAAUAUUGUGAGCCUGUCGUUUUAAUGCACAGAAAGCCAAAAGUUAAGUAUGUAUGUGAAGUAUUUCUUUAAGGUUCUGAGAACUUAAGAGUCAGUUCACAUCAAGCAACUAAAGAGUUCAUUUCCAAAUGUUCACACGUCAGACAGCACAAGGAACAAUUUGGAUAUGAGCACAUCUGACUGUAAGGAACAAUAUAUAUGGUAUUUGCAUUUGCAAAAGUAAAAGUAAAAAGCAAUGUAUUUAACAAAAUAAUGGCACUUGUCAGCCACAUUGUCAAAAUCUACUUUUCCCAAAACAAUACAGUUCUACUAACAACAUUGGUUUAGUGAAAAAAAAAGAAAAAAAGAAAAAAGAAAGUGUAAAUUGGAAAGUACCGAGAACACAAGCGCUUUGCUGGUUUUGGUUCAUUCAGAUCAUUUUGUUGUCAAUAAAAAAAUUAAAGAAUUAUGGCAGCUAUUUCAUUUAAACUCUCCAGGCAAUCUUCUAAAUUUCCUUUAUUUUUAAUCUUAAGGGGCUCUACGAAACAAUUUGUCAGAAUUUACAUGUAGCAGUCGCUUUUUUUAUUGGCCCUAUGGGAGCGGAUUGAAACAUGACGUGAAAAAUGAGUCCGUCCUCGUCUCUCUCUCUCUCUCUGCCAACGCCAGCCUGUGGAUGAUUAGUUUGAGCUGUUUAAUGCUGCAGGACUGUGGAUUUCUUUAUGAAGGGACUCCGGUCCGAUUUUCUUGUAGGGUGUAGGGUGUUUCAGUUUCACUCAUUUCAAAUGUUUCUUUUCAUGGAAAUACUGUAAAUGUUUG